AGAGUUUGAUCCUGGCUCAGAUUGAACGCUGGCGGCAUGCUUUACACAUGCAAGUCGAACGGCAGCGGGGGUGCUUGCACCUGCCGGCGAGUGGCGAACGGGUGAGUAAUACAUCGGAACGUAUCCAGAAGAGGGGGAUAACGCAUCGAAAGAUGUGCUAAUACCGCAUAUUCUCUGAGGAGGAAAGCAGGGGAUCGAAAGACCUUGUGCUUUUGGAGCGGCCGAUGUCUGAUUAGCUAGUUGGUGGGGUAAGGGCCUACCAAGGCGACGAUCAGUAGUUGGUCUGAGAGGACGACCAGCCACACUGGGACUGAGACACGGCCCAGACUCCUACGGGAGGCAGCAGUGGGGAAUUUUGGACAAUGGGCGCAAGCCUGAUCCAGCCAUGCCGCGUGCGGGAAGAAGGCCUUCGGGUUGUAAACCGCUUUUGUCAGGGAAGAAACGCUCUGGGCUAAUACCUUGGGGUAUGACGGUACCUGAAGAAUAAGCACCGGCUAACUACGUGCCAGCAGCCGCGGUAAUA
rnacentral:rRNA from 1 species